CCCCCCCAGCGCGGCGGCGGGCGGGCGGCUCUCCGGUGCCGCGGGCGGGGGCUCAGCCGGCGCGGCCGCUUGUUGAUCGCGGCGCCCGGCGCCGCUCCGCGCUUCCCGGGCCCCGCUCCGCGCCACGCAGGCAGCCCCCGCGCCCGGGCUUGCCGCUGCGCUGCGGCGCCGCUUGCAUUCUUCCAUUGCAACAGUACAAACCCCUCCUUUUUUUUUUUUUUCCCCGUCUCUCUCUCCCUUUCUUUCCUUUUUUUUUUUUUUUUUUUUUUUUUUUGCAUGAAGAUGGCGGCGCCUCUCGCCAGCAAGGCAGGGUCUGCCGGCACCAACAGCAAGCCUGCCUUCCCGGAGCUGGAUUUCCGAUCGGGAGCCAGGGUGGAGGAAUUGAAUAAACUCAUCCAGGAAUUCACCAAGCACGACCAGAGGGAGUACGACGACCAGCGAGCCCUGGAGAUCCACACGGCGAAGGACUUCAUCUUCUCCAUGCUGGGCAUGGUUCAGAAACUUGACCAGAAGCUGCCUGUAGCCAACGAGUACCUGCUGCUUUCAGGUGGUGUGCGGGAAGGUGUGGUGGACAUUGAUCUUGAUGAGCUGAAUGUUUAUGCACGAGGCACAGACUAUGACAUGGACUUCACCCUGCUUGUGCCUGCACUGAAGCUGCAUGACCGCAACCAACCAGUCACACUGGACAUGCGCCACUCAGCUUUGUGCCACUCUUGGCUGAGCCUGCGUCUGUUCGAUGAAGGAACUAUCAGCAAAUGGAAGGACUGCUGCACGAUCGUGGACCAUAUCAACGGAGCUACUAAUUAUUUCUUCUCUCCGACAAAAGUUGCAGACUGGUUCUAUGACUCCAUUAGCAUUGUCCUCUCCGAGAUCCAGAAAAAGCCUCAGCGAGGGAUGCCAAAGGUGGAGAAGGUAGAAAAGAAUGGGACUAUCAUAUCCAUCAUUUUGGGAGUGGGCAGCAGCCGCAUGCUGUACGACAUUGUCCCUGUGGUGUCCUUCAAAGGUUGGCCAGCUGUAGCCCAGAGCUGGCUGAUGGAAAACCACUUCUGGGAUGGGAAGAUCACAGAGGAGGAAGUUAUAAGUGGGUUUUACUUAGUGCCUGCAUGCUCCUACAAGGGGAAGAAGGACAAUGAAUGGAGGCUGUCAUUUGCCAGAAGUGAAGUGCAGCUGAAAAAGUGCAUCUCCAGCAGCCUCAUGCAAGCCUAUCAGGCCUGCAAAGCUAUCAUCAUCAAAUUGCUGUCCCGCCCCAAAGCCAUUAGUCCAUAUCACUUGCGGAGCAUGAUGCUGUGGGCUUGCGACAGGUUACCUGCCAACUACUUGGCCCAGGAGGAUUACGCAGCCCAUUUUCUCCUGGGUCUCAUUGAUGAUCUCCAGCACUGCUUGGUCAACAAGAUGUGCCCUAACUAUUUCAUCCCCCAGUGCAACAUGCUGGAGCAUCUCUCUGAAGAAACGGUCAUGCUGCAUGCGCGGAAGCUGUCCUCAGUCCGCUCAGACCCUGCCGAACACCUUCGAACUGCCAUCGAACAUGUCAAAGCAGCCAACCGGCUAACACUAGAGCUCCAGCGGCGGGGCAGCACCACCAGCAUCCCCUCCCCACAGUCAGAUGGAGGGGACACCAACCAGCCUGAUGAUCGAUUAGCCAAAAAGUUGCAACAGUUAGUGACUGAGAACCCCGGGAAGUCCAUCUCUGUCUUCAUUAACCCAGAUGAUGUCACAAGGCCCCACUUCAGAAUUGAUGAUAAAUUUUUCUGAGCUUUCAUCAAUAUUUCUUGGGAUUUUUUUCUUUUGUUUCAUUUUUAAAAACUCUUGCAGUGUGCAGGUUUUUUUGUUUGGUUUUCCCAGAUGACCUAGUCUCUUGUUUUUUACAUAUCCAGCGUAGAUUGGAUCUGUUGAGAACAAUCUGAAUAAAUUAUAAUUCCUGGUUCUGCAGGACGGUGCAGAUUUUGAAACAGUAUAUUACUAUUUCAUAUGCUGCUUUGAUUUUUUUUCACCCACCCAGCCCCAUUGUCUGUGAGUAGUUUCUAAAGGAGAACAUGCACCGUAAACACACAUGCCACAGUGUAAUGGAGAUUUUUUUGUCAAGCUUCUAUAAUUUAUGUACAUUUUUGGGCCUGGGGAAGGGACAACUCACCUUCCAUUGCUUCAGAAAUUCACUUCUUUUUCCACGAGCUUCCAUCACCCUAAAGAAAUGAGGAGAGACUCUGGGUUGGAAAGCACUACUGGUAAUUUUGACGAGGCCAAAUCUAUUGGGCUGAAGCCCAGUUCAUCUGUUCUUCACACUUCUCACACUAGGGGAGAAAGUUGACUUCAAAGAGGAUGAUGCAGCUUUUGGGAGAAAUAGUUGUUUCUGUUUUGAUCUACUUUUUGAAUGUAAUUGUUCAUAAUUGGACCUUGUACAGUCCAGAGGGUUGUUUCUGCUGCUUUUCCAUGCGGAAUAAGGUUAUGGAAUGUUAGUUUUAGUGUGUGUAAUUAUUCAAAGCCUUAUUUAAAUUCUAUUAAAGAACAUACCAUUAUAAAUGUGUUAAUUGCACUAAUGAAAUCUCUGCCAUUACCUCAGUCCCACUGUUUGUGUUUCUUUCAUGAAAUAGCAUCUAUUAUUAGGUCUCAGUAUUGCAGAUUGCUUGAGGCCCCUUGGGUCUCAUGGUUUCAGGUGAUUUCUUGAUUGUCUUUUGUAAAAGGCUCUUCCUUGUUAGCCCUGCUAUGUGUGAGAAGUCAGAUUUUUGCAUUGGCAUAUUUCUUUGGAUGCGUAUUGUGUGUUGCAGUGCAUAUUGCAUUAAUAUGUAUUGCAUGUUGUUGAAACAGGUUUACCAUUAGAUAAGGAUGUAAUGCUAAAGCAGUGGUAUGUGCAAAGUGAAUCAGCCAGACCUCGAGCAAAGGAGCUACCUUGCUUCUGUAAUGCAUGUAUUAGGCCUGAUCCUUUAUGGCAGUUACCAUUCCCUUGACUCCUGUGGACUUUCUGACUUACCCUGGGACAUAUGAGAUCUUACUUUGGUCUCAUGUUUGCAGAAGUUGUGUUUGUAUGUAAACUUGUGGUGCAACAGUAGCCUUGAAAAACACAUACGCUUUCCUUUUGUGUGUAGGAUAAGAUGUAUGGUAACAAGGGUUAGUCUGAGCCAAAAAUAAUUCCAAGAGUUCAAGGAUAGAGUGGCUUUUUGUGGCUGGCUGGCCAGUGACUGAUAUUUAGGCCUUAAAUCAGCAAUUUGGGCUUACUGAUUAUCCCAGAGAAGCUGUUCUGAUCCAAACUUGAUGCAUGUUUUAAAAUGUGAUUAUUAGAGCAGGUUGAAGUAUUUUUAAAAUAUUUGCCAGACAAAUGAGGCGCAUAUCUAGUAAAUUCUAACAGAUAAAAAUUGUGUAUGAAAAAUGUGUCACUUUUUUAGCCCAGCCUUUCUGGUAAAGAAACCGGGCUGGUGGAGCAACACACCAGCAGCUUUGGAAACUGCUUUGGUAGAUGGCAAGGAGGUUUCAAUACCUGAUCUAGUGCCCAAGUCAUGUCUUAAAACAAAACUUUGGCUCCUCCAUCUCUUGGGCAUAUUUGAAAACUUCACCCCAUUGCUGUAGCCAAGAUGUUCACAUUUACCUGAAUUUACUGGUACACACUUACACGAGCCUGAAGAAGCUCUCAGAAGUUGCUGGCUAGGUGGAGUGGAUGAGGAUUUAAUUUAAAGCACAAUUGGCUAGUGAUCGUGAGCCCCGGUGCAGCUGCGGUUAUGGUCCGGGGAAGGACAUGUAUUGACUUCAGUGGAAGCAGAACUGGGUCCUACCAGUGUGGCUAUUGCCAAAGAUGAGUCUCCAUUUAAACCAGUGUAACCUGCCAGGGGAGGCAGGAGAACCAACUGGGAAUCCUCUCCAGAAGUGCUUGGAAAAUGCAGAUUCAUUGAAAUGGUCUUUUCCCCAGUCUCCGGGACUUCUGCCUGUUCGAAAAAGAGUCUGGGCUCCAGGAUGAAGUUUCCCAUCACCACAUGAGAGAGAUCUGCUCAGCAGAAAGCAGCAGUAGCCUGGCAGGCAGACUACUUUCCUGGGAGUCCCAGUGUCCAUGCCGGCGUUCCUGGGUUAUGCAGAAACACAGCCUUCCUCAUGCCAGUUCAACAUCCCGAUGACCAGCAGUUUGGCUAGCCCAUGUCAAGCUCUGGGCUUCUGGCCAGCAGCACGAUGAGAGGAGCAGCUAAUUUGACUGGUUCCAGUUGUCACUUCUGGGAGACUCUGAAGAACCUGUCACUUCUUCAGGGGGACACCUGAGCUGCUGCAGAGCUGAAAAAAC